rnacentral:ncRNA from 1 species
UUAAAAAUCGGGCAUAUCUGCCGAAAGGCAGUGACGCAAAGCUACAGGGGCUAAAGUGAAUUUUCGCUAUGCCAGCCAGUUGCCGAG